rnacentral:rRNA from 1 species
UUGUGACCGUUUUUAACCUCUGCAAAACCGGCUGCUCAUGAAUGUAAAAAGUUUGUGACUCGCCGGCUAGUAACAGAGCGUAUUUACCUAUUAACCAUUUUAACCAAUCUUUAUAACUUUAUGAACUAACUUUAUUUUAUACUCUUCGGAGAUAAAAUUCAUUACGAAACAAAGAACAACUCUUAGCAACGGAUAUCUUGGUUCUCGUAACGAUGAAGAACGCAGCGAAAUGCGAUACGUAAUGCGAAUUGCAGAAUUCAGUGAAUCAUCAAAUCUUUGAACGCAAAUUGCGCUUUCCGGAUAGGCCGGGGAGCAUGCCUCUUUGAGUCUCGUUUCUACCUCAUCUCGAAUGCUUUUUGUGAAUAACGAAUUGCAGUCGGAUAAUGAGCGUCUCAUUCGAAAUGAGUGAGUCGCUUUAAGAAGCGUGAGUUCCUAAACUCCUAGUCUGAAGUCGAUUUAUCGGCUGCCUUUUGAUAGGUAAUUACAGCUAGUGACGUGGAUAAAUUUAUUUUUCAACGUCGCUCGGUUAUAAUGACUUGUCUUAAUGGUUAACUUACAUAAGGAAACCUGGUUCUCAAAGGAAAUUAAAUUCUUUUUGAAUUAGAGCUCAAAUGAAGCAAGAUUACCCGCUGAACUUAAGCAUAUUAUUAAGCGGAGGAAAAGAAACUAACAAGGAUGCCCUCAGUAACGGCGAGUGAAGCGGGCAAAGCUCAACCUGAAAAUCGGAUUUCCUAGCGGGAUUUCGAAUUGUGGGCUACAGACGCGAGAUCAGCGUGUUACCCUGGUAUAAGUGAGUCUUAUUGGAAUACUACAUCAUAGAGGGUGAAAAUCCCGUCUGUGACCAGGAGUUAGCCGCGUACGAUCCGUGUUCGCAGAGUCGCG